GUCCUUCGGGUCUGUGGUUGCAAGCCGAUGCCAGUCGCAGGCAAAGCGGUCCACGUAAUCCGUCCAAAGUGACGGGGAGCAUGGUGCGGUCUAGAUGUAAGUCCGUCCGGGACACGAUCCCGAGAGAAGCGAGUGAGGGCGUUCAUACGCAGAGCAAACUUCCAGGCGGCGUGUGUGGGGUCAAAAACCAGGUCAGCCGGAGGAA
rnacentral:ncRNA from 1 species